ACACAAUAAAAUAUGAAGGCUGUACGCGGCUGUGCUCUCGGGCCAGUUUUGCGGAGGCUGAAUUAUUUAUUACCCUUGUCUUUUGCGCACUUGUUCUUUCCUGGGCGGGUUCGCCCGCCACCAAGGACCACAUCAUAAACCUUUUUUAUGCAGUUGCAAUCAGCGUCAGUAUAACAAAUGUAAAUCAUUUACAACUUUCAACAACGGAUCUCUUGGUUCUGGCAUCGAUGAAGAACGCAGCGAAAUGCGAUACGUAGUGUGAAUUGCAGAAUUCAGUGAAUCAUCGAAUCUUUGAACGCACAUUGCGCCCUUUGGUAUUCCAAAGGGCAUGCCUGUUCGAGCGUCAUUUGUACCCUCAAGCUUUGCUUGGUGUUGGGCGUUUUUUGUCUUUGGUUGCCAAAGACUCGCCUUAAAAGGAUUGGCAGCCGGCCUACUGGUUUCGCAGCGCAGCACAUUUUUGCGCUUGCAAUCAGCAAAAGAGGACGGCAAUCCAUCAAGACUCCUUCUCACGUUUGACCUCGGAUCAGGUAGGGAUACCCGCUGAACUUAAGCAU
rnacentral:rRNA from 1 species